UAGGCACUUCAGAGCAAAUAG
rnacentral:piRNA from 1 species